rnacentral:rRNA from 1 species
UAGGGAAUAUUGGUAAUCUGGGAAACCGGGAACCAGCAACGCCGCGUGCGCGAUGAAGGCCUUCGGGUUGUAAAGCGCUUUUUGAGAGGAUGAGGAAGGACAGUACUCUUAGAAUAAGCCUCGGCUAACUACGUGCCAGCAGCCGCGGUAAAACGUAGGAGGCGAGCGUUAUCCGGAUUUACUGGGCGUAAAGCGUGUGUAGGCGGUUUGAUAAGUUGGAUGUGAAAGCUCCUGGCUUAACUGGGAGAGGUCGUUCAAAACUAUCAGACUUGAGAGUGGUAGAGGGAGGUGGAAUUCCGCAUGUAGUGGUGAAAUGCGUAGAUAUGCGGAGGAACACCAGUGGCGAAAGCGGCCUCCUGGCCCAUUUCUGACGCUGAAGCGCGAAAGCGUGGGGAGCGAACA